rnacentral:rRNA from 1 species
GACGAACGCUGGCGGCGUGCUUAACACAUGCAAGUCGAACGGAAAGGCCCUGCUUUUGUGGGGUGCUCGAGUGGCGAACGGGUGAGUAACACGUGAGUAACCUGCCCUUGACUUUGGGAUAACUUCAGGAAACUGGGGCUAAUACCGGAUAGGAGCUCCUGCUGCAUGGUGGGGGUUGGAAAGUUUCGGCGGUUGGGGAUGGACUCGCGGCUUAUCAGCUUGUUGGUGGGGUAGUGGCUUACCAAGGCUUUGACGGGUAGCCGGCCUGAGAGGGUGACCGGGCAAAUUGGGAAUGGGGUAACGGCCCGAACCCUUCGGGGGGGAGAAGGGGGGAAAUAUGGCACAAGGGCGGGAGGCUGGAGCAACAACCGCGGGGGGGGGAAUAACGCCUUUGGGGUGGUAACCGGCUUUGGCUUGUGACGAAGGGGGGGUGAGGGAAAUGGGUAAAGAAGCACGGGUAACUUACGG